rnacentral:tRNA from 1 species
GAGGAUAUAGCUCAGUGGUAGAGCACAUGCUUAACUAGCACAACGUCCUGGGUUUAAUCCCCAGGACCUUCA